CACGCACUUCACCGGAUCACCUCCACCAUGGCGGCGAGAGUAGAUCCGACGAUCGAGGUGAAGGUAUUCGUGGACAGGGAGAGGAGCAGGGUGAUCUUCGCGGAGUCCGGCAAGGAGUUCGUCGACGUGCUGUUGGGCUUCCUCACGCUGCCUCUCGGCACCGUCGUUCGCCUCCUCGGCAAGCAGUCCCAGGUCGGAUGCCUCGACGAGAUCUACAAGAGCGUGAAGGGACUCCCCGCCGAUUUCUUCAGAACUGAAGCCUGCAAGGCGAUGCUGCUCAAGCCCAUCAACGCUGCGGCGCAGCAAUGCUGCCAACUCAGUGUCAGAGUCGACGGCACCAAGCGCGACGGGGAGAGGCCGGAGAGCUCUGCUGCAGCUGCUGCUGGUUCCGACGCCGGGGUUUUUGUCAAAGGCGACGUGAAGUUCAUCGUCACCGAUGAUUUCCUUGUGGCACCGGCAUCGACGUCUCUCAUGUUGACCCUUUUCGACAGGUUUGACGUGCAGGAUCCCUCCAGUCUAGAGCAGAGGACUCUCCACCUUAGUUCAGACAAGAUGAUUAGCCUGCUUAAGAGAUCAUUAACGUCCAAGAACGCUUUAACUGCUCACUACUUCGAUUCUGCUAUCGCGGCCGAUGAUUCCGCCAUUGAUAUUCUCACCGAGAACGUGUAUCUUGAACGAGGAAAUGAUGCCGAUCCCAGCCUGAACGAUGUCAAGAUAAAGGUUCUUCAGACGAAGAACAACUCAUCGGUGCUGUAUGCAGAAGUUGGUGCCAAUUUUGUGGACCUUCUUUUUGGCCUACUAUGCAUACCACUAGGAUCCAUCAUGAAGACAUAUGGUAAGUGCGCAUCAAAAGGAUGUGUUGACAAUCUGUACGGCAGCAUAGAUGGCAAUGCUCAGGAAUGCAUGAGAUCAGAAUGCCGGAUCUCGCUACUGUCCCCAAAGUUGGCACCCUUCUUUGGUUGCAGUACUAGUAAGUUGCUACAAGUUGAAGAACAGGAUCCAGGUAAGGAAGCUAACUGCAUAUAUACUGAUUAUUUU
rnacentral:rRNA from 1 species